GUCAAAUGAAUUAAGGCUUACGGUGGAGAUCUAGGCAUUCAGAGACGACGAAGGGCGCAGAUACCGGCGAUACGCUUUGGGGAGCUGGCAACAAGCUUUGAUCCAGAGAUUCCCGAAUAGGGCAACCUCAAGAACUUCCUCCCUAAUUCAUAAGGAGGAAAGAGGCAACCCAGUGAAUUGAAACAUCUUAGUAGCUGGAGGAAAAGAAAGCAAAAGCGAUUCCCUUAGUAGCGGCGAGCGAAACGGGACAAGCCUAAACCCGAAAGGGUGUAGUGGGAAAACUAAAAAAUUAUUACUUAGAUUUCAGACGAAGCAGCUGAAUCCUGCACCAUAGAUGGUGAAAGUCCAGUAGUCAAAAAUAUCAAUUAAUAAAAGUUAUAUCCCGAGUAGCAUGGGGCACGUGGAAUCCCGUGUGAAUCAGCGAGGACCACCUCGUAAGGCUAAAUACUCCUGGAUGACCGAUAGAGAAAUAGUAACGCGAGUGAACGAUGAAAAGAACCCCGGUAGGGGAGUGAAAUAGAACAUGAAACCGUAUGCUGACAAGCAGUGGGAGGAUAUACUGACCGCGUGCCUGUUGAAGAAUGAGCCGGCGACUUAGAGGAGGUGGCUAGGUUAAAGAGUCAAAUCUGGAGCCUUAGCGAAAGCGAGUCUGAAUAGGGCGCACAGUCACUUCCUCUGGACCCGAACCCGGGUGAUCUAAUUAUGACCAGGAUGAAGCUUGGGUAACACCACGUGGAGGUCCGAACCGACCAAUGUUGAAAAAUUGGCGGAUGAGUUGUAAUUAGCGGAGAAAUUCCAGUCGAACUCGGAGCUAGCUGGAUCUCCCCGAAAUGCGUUGAGGCGCAGCGGUGAUGAUGUACGAUCUAGGGGUAAAGCGACUGUUUCGAUGCGGGCUGCGAAAGCGGUACCAAGUCGUGGCAAACUCAGAAUACUAGAUUUGUUUUCCAUCAACCAGUGAGUGAUCGACGGAUAAGCGCCGAUCACAAGAGGGAAACAGCCCAGACCACCAGCUAAGGCCCCUAAAUGAUUACUAAGUGCGAAAGGAUGUGAGAUUGCUGAAACAACCAGGAUGUUCGCUUAGAAGCAGCAACCGAUUGAAAGAGUGCGUAAUAGCUCACUGGUAAAGCGAUCUUGCGCCGAUAAUGGCCGGGACUAAGUAAUCUGCCGAAGCUGUGGUAUUUUCUUAUUAAGAAAAUAGGUAGGGGAGCGUACGAUUCUUGGGUGAAGCUUUCGCGUAAGCGGGGGUGGACAAAAUCGUAGUGCGAAUGUUGGCUUGAGUAACGAAAACAUUGGUGAGAAUCCAAUGCCCCGAAAACCUAAGGGUUCCUCCACUAGGCUCGUCCAUGGGGGGUGAGUCAGGACCUAAGGCGAGGCCGACAGGCGUAGUCGAUGGAUAACAGGUUAAUAUUCCUGUACUGAUUUUAUUGGGAACCAAGGGACGAAGGAAACUAAACUGGAACUGCUCGUGGAUUUCAGUGGAAGCAUUUAGGCCUACAUAGUUUUGAAUAAAAACAAAGCUAUGGCUAAGAUGUGAUCCCUAUCCUUUACUUGUAAAGGGUAGCCAGUGAUGUUACACUUCCAAGAAAAGCUUGUACUCCAUUAACAAUAAAAUCACCUGUACCUGAAACCGACACAGGUAGGUUGGUAGAGAAUACCAAGGGGCGCGAGAGAACUCUCUCUAAGGAACUCGGCAAACUGGCCCCGUAACUUCGGAAGAAGGGGCGCCCCUCUAACAGGGGGUUGCAGUGACCCGUUUCAGGCGACUGUUUAUCAAAAACACAGGUCUCCGCAAAGUCGUAAGACAAUAUAUGGGGGCUGACGCCUGCCCAGUGCUGGAAGGUUAAGGAAGUUGGUUACCCUUCUGGGGAAAGCUGACGACCGAAGCCCCAGUGAACGGCGGUCGUAACUAUAACGAUCCUAAGGUAGCGAAAUUCAUUGCCGAGUAAGUUUCGGCCUGCACGAAUGGCGUAACGAUCUGAAAACUGUCUCAGAGAGAGACUCGGUGAAAUAGACUUGUCCCGUGAAGAUGCGGACUACCUGCGCCCGGACAGAAAGACCCUAUGAAGCUUGACUGUAUCCUGGAAUUGGGUUCGGGCUUUUCUUGCGCAGCCUAGGUGGGAGGCUAUGAGCAUUAGCUUUCGGGCUAAUGGGAGCCAUCAUUGAGAGACCACUCUGGAAAGGCUAGAAUCCUAAUGGUGUUCUUUGAAUCAAGACACUUGACAGUUUCAGGUGGGCAGUUUCUCUGGGGCGGAGGCCUCAUAAAGUGUAACUGAGGCGUGCAAAGGUUCCUUCAGUCUGGACGGAAAUCAGACAUUGAGUGUAAAGGCAAAAGGGAGCUUGACUGCAAGACCUACAAGUCGAGCAGGGGCGAAAGCCGGCCUUAGUGAUCCGACGAUGCCGUGUGGAAGGGUCGUCGCUCAACGGACAAAAGUUACUCUAGGGAUAACAGGCUGAUCUUCCCCAAGAGUUCACAUCGACGGGAAGGUUUGGCACCUCGAUGUCGGCUCAUCGCAUCCUGGGGCGGUAGUACGUCCCAAGGGUUGGGCUGUUCGCCCAUUAAAGCGGUACGUGAGCUGGGUUCAAAACGUCGUGAGACAGUUUGGUCCAUAUCCGGCGUAGGCGCUGGAGUAUUGAGAAGAAGUCUUUCGAAGUACGAGAGGACCCGAAAGACCAAGCCUAUGGUGUACCAGUUAUUGUUCCAACAGUAAACGCUGGGUAGCUACGCUUGCCGAGAUAACCGCUGACAGCAUAUAAGUGGGAAGCUUCACUUCAAGAUGAGUACUCCCAAUUAGGUAACAGGAAGACUACCUGUUUGAUAGGUAUCAGGUCGAAGGGCUGUAAGGUCUGUAGCCAAGAUAUACUAAUUACCGAUUGACUUUGAC
rnacentral:rRNA from 1 species